GAUGAACGCUGGCGGCGUGCUUAACACAUGCAAGUCGAACGGAAAGGCCCAAGCUUGCUUGGGUACUCGAGUGGCGAACGGGUGAGUAACACGUGGGUGAUCUGCCCUGCACUUCGGGAUAAGCCUGGGAAACUGGGUCUAAUACCGGAUAGGACCACAUUUUGGAUGGUGUGGUGGAAAGUUUUUCGGUGUGGGAUGAGCUCGCGGCCUAUCAGCUUGUUGGUGGGGUAAUGGCCUACCAAGGCGUCGACGGGUAGCCGGCCUGAGAGGGUGUACGGCCACAUUGGGACUGAGAUACGGCCCAGACUCCUACGGGAGGCAGCAGUGGGGGAUAUUGCACAAUGGGCGCAAGCCUGAUGCAGCGACGCCGCGUGGGGGAUGACGGCCUUCGGGUUGUAAACUCCUUUCGCUAGGGACGAAGCGUUUUUGUGACGGUACCUGGAGAAGAAGCACCGGCUAACUACGUG
rnacentral:rRNA from 1 species